CACCCCAGCUGCUCAACGCGAUUUCCCUUCGCGCUUCUCCGCACCGGGAUCCCCAGUCCCUCAGGUUCCGACAGACCCUCCUGUCAGGCCCAUUCUCCGGGCCCCCUCAGUUGCAGUGUUAAGAUCAACAGUGUUAAGAUUAAAGCCUUGUGAUGUGCUAGCCACUACGCUGAGGAUAUGCCGUGUACUAAAAUUCCUCAGGACUCCUCACAGCUGCCCUGUAAGGAAGCGGCCAUGGCCGGGUUCUAGCGAUGCGAGGCCGAGGCUCGGGGCGCUGAGUAGCCUAGCGCGUCGCCGAGGAGAGCUGGCACGUGAACCCCUUGUCGUUUGCCGUCAGAGGUGUUAUGUGGUGGCCCUCAUUCUCCAUGCAUGGAGCAGACUCUAGGAUCUGCAGUUACUGUAUGAUGAGCCCUUCUGAGUAUUUUGCUUGGGUGGACAGUUUAUGUGUCAGGUAUGUGUAUUUAUAAUUAAAAUCAAAUAUUAUUACAUAGGCUUUGCACCUGGCGAGGUAACAUUGAGAGUAGUUAAUCUCUAGACUGGAAUCCAUCUGGAAGACCACUCAAUAACUUGUGAUUAGCUGGACCUGGUGAUGCAAGCCUGGAGUCCCAGUUACCCGGAGGCUGAGGUGGGAAUAUCGCUUGAGACCAGGAGUUUGAGGCUACAGUGAGCUGUGAUUGUACCACUGCACUCCAGCCUGGGUGACAGUGCAAGACCUCAUCUCUUAAAAAAAACAAACAACUCAAAAAACCUCAUCAUUGAGCACCUAUGAUGUGCCAGCAACUGUACUCAGUGGUGGGGACUUGACGACAAACAAACCAGGGAUGGGAUCCUUGAGCAGUCACCAUCUGACAAGUGACUGGGAAAGAUGAAUAAUGCCCUUCACCAAGAUUCUUCUCUGAUCCACAAAUUCAAUUACCAAUUUAUUUGUUCACUGCUCUUAAACUUAAAUAUUUUUUAGUAGGUAAUAAAGACAUGUUUAAACACUCUUAA
rnacentral:lncRNA from 1 species